CAGGAGGAAGCAGAGCUUCCAAUUCCACUUAAGUCGGGACCAACAGUAAUGGUAGAUGCUGUUGGAACUGUGGUUGGCUGGCCAAAAGAAUUGGUGAUAUUUCCGACGACAAAGACUGAUGACUGAGGAGGAGACCAUUCCUAUCGAAUUUGAUGAAGCCAUGUUUGGACGUAAUGUGAGUACAUCGUUGUUGAGAGAGGAUAUCAUGCGCUGUAUGGAAAUGAGAGAGAUAGGGUCAAGGCAAAUUUUGGUUUACAUGGGUUACUUGUACAAGUACUUGAAGGAAACAAACAGGGCUGAGUAUGUGUCGUUUGUG